rnacentral:rRNA from 1 species
UACGUAGGGUGCGAGCGUUAAUCGGAAUUACUGGGCGUAAAGGGUGCGCAGGCGGCCGCGCAAGUCGAGUGUGAAAGCCCCGGGCUUAACUUGGGAAUUGCGCUCGAAACUACGUGGCUGGAGUGUGGCAGAGGAAGGUGGAAUUCCAGGUGUAGCGGUGAAAUGCGUAGAGAUCUGGAGGAACACCGAUGGCGAAGGCAGCCUUCUGGGCCAACACUGACGCUCAUGCACGAAAGCGUGGGGAGCAAACAGG